ensembl:lincRNA
CGCACUUAAUGAAGAAAAUCAAGAAACUUCGUAACUAAUAAAAUCAGUUUGCUGAAAAUCUGAAGGCAUAAAGUUAUGCACGAGGCUGUGCUGGAGGGAUGACACUUACGCCUCUGCCCUCCGGAGGCUGUGUGUGACCACUGACGUGUAUUCCUAAUGAAAUCUGAGCAAAAGUGACCCAUGUGUAUUCCAGGAUGACUGCUUUAAUUGUGACAUUCUUCAGCACUUUCUCCAUUGCCCUGUAGUCCCAGAAGCAAAUGCUGAUAUGGACAUAUAGUGUUGAGCCUUAUCAUGGAAGACAUUUCCUGAACCGUCGCCAAAAUCCACAGCUAAGAUUCACACAUGGACCAACAGACUGAUGGACUGAGAGAC